rnacentral:rRNA from 1 species
UUAAGUUAUUAAGGGCGCACGGUGGAUGCCUUGGCACUAGAAGCCGAUGAAGGACGUUACUAACGACGAUAUGCUUUGGGGAGCUGUAAGUAAGCUUUGAUCCAGAGAUUUCCGAAUGGGGAAACCCAGCAUGAGUUAUGUCAUGUUAUCGAUAUGUGAAUACAUAGCAUAUCAGAAGGCACACCCGGAGAACUGAAACAUCUUAGUACCCGGAGGAAGAGAAAGAAAAUUCGAUUCCCUUAGUAGCGGCGAGCGAAACGGGAAGAGCCCAAACCAACAAGCUUGCUUGUUGGGGUUGUAGGACACUCUNUACGGAGUUACAAAGGACGACAUUAGACGAAUCAUCUGGAAAGAUGAAUCAAAGAAGGUAAUAAUCCUGUAGUCGAAAAUGUUGUCUCUCUUGAGUGGAUCCUGAGUACGACGGAGCACGUGAAAUUCCGUCGGAAUCUGGGAGGACCAUCUCCUAAGGCUAAAUACUCUCUAGUGACCGAUAGUGAACCAGUACCGUGAGGGAAAGGUGAAAAGCACCCCGGAAGGGGAGUGAAAUAGAACCUGAAACCGUGUGCUUACAAGUAGUCAGAGCCCGUUAAUGGGUGAUGGCGUGCCUUUUGUAGAAUGAACCGGCGAGUUACGAUUUGAUGCAAGGUUAAGCAGUAAAUGUGGAGCCGUAGCGAAAGCGAGUCUGAAUAGGGCGUUUAGUAUUUGGUCGUAGACCCGAAACCAGGUGAUCUACCCUUGGUCAGGUUGAAGUUCAGGUAACACUGAAUGGAGGACCGAACCGACUUACGUUGAAAAGUGAGCGGAUGAACUGAGGGUAGCGGAGAAAUUCCAAUCGAACCUGGAGAUAGCUGGUUCUCUCCGAAAUAGCUUUAGGGCUAGCCUCAAGUGAUGAUUAUUGGAGGUAGAGCACUGUUUGGACGAGGGGCCCCUCUCGGGUUACCGAAUUCAGACAAACUCCGAAUGCCAAUUAAUUUAACUUGGGAGUCAGAACAUGGGUGAUAAGGUCCGUGUUCGAAAGGGAAACAGCCCAGACCACCAGCUAAGGUCCCAAAAUAUAUGUUAAGUGGAAAAGGAUGUGGCGUUGCCCAGACAACUAGGAUGUUGGCUUAGAAGCAGCCAUCAUUUAAAGAGUGCGUAAUAGCUCACUAGUCGAGUGACACUGCGCCGAAAAUGUACCGGGGCUAAACAUAUUACCGAAGCUGUGGAUUGUCCUUUGGACAAUGGUAGGAGAGCGUUCUAAGGGCGUUGAAGCAUGAUCGUAAGGACAUGUGGAGCGCUUAGAAGUGAGAAUGCCGGUGUGAGUAGCGAAAGACGGGUGAGAAUCCCGUCCACCGAUUGACUAAGGUUUCCAGAGGAAGGCUCGUCCGCUCUGGGUUAGUCGGGUCCUAAGCUGAGGCCGACAGGCGUAGGCGAUGGAUAACAGGUUGAUAUUCCUGUACCACCUAUAAUCGUUUUAAUCGAUGGGGGGACGCAGUAGGAUAGGCGAAGCGUGCGAUUGGAUUGCACGUCUAAGCAGUAAGGCUGAGUAUUAGGCAAAUCCGGUACUCGUUAAGGCUGAGCUGUGAUGGGGAGAAGACAUUGNGUCUUCGAGUCGUUGAUUUCACACUGCCGAGAAAAGCCUCUAGAUAGAAAAUAGGUGCCCGUACCGCAAACCGACACAGGUAGUCAAGAUGAGAAUUCUAAGGUGAGCGAGCGAACUCUCGUUAAGGAACUCGGCAAAAUGACCCCGUAACUUCGGGAGAAGGGGUGCUCUUUAGGGUUAACGCCCAGAAGAGCCGCAGUGAAUAGGCCCAAGCGACUGUUUAUCAAAAACACAGGUCUCUGCUAAACCGUAAGGUGAUGUAUAGGGGCUGACGCCUGCCCGGUGCUGGAAGGUUAAGAGGAGUGGUUAGCUUCUGCGAAGCUACGAAUCGAAGCCCCAGUAAACGGCGGCCGUAACUAUAACGGUCCUAAGGUAGCGAAAUUCCUUGUCGGGUAAGUUCCGACCCGCACGAAAGGCGUAACGAUUUGGGCACUGUCUCAACGAGAGACUCGGUGAAAUCAUAGUACCUGUGAAGAUGCAGGUUACCCGCGACAGGACGGAAAGACCCCGUGGAGCUUUACUGUAGCCUGAUAUUGAAAUUCGGCACAGCUUGUACAGGAUAGGUAGGAGCCUUUGAAACGUGAGCGCUAGCUUACGUGGAGGCGCUGGUGGGAUACUACCCUAGCUGUGUUGGCUUUCUAACCCGCACCACUUAUCGUGGUGGGAGACAGUGUCAGGCGGGCAGUUUGACUGGGGCGGUCGCCUCCUAAAAGGUAACGGAGGCGCUCAAAGGUUCCCUCAGAAUGGUUGGAAAUCAUUCAUAGAGUGUAAAGGCAUAAGGGAGCUUGACUGCGAGACCUACAAGUCGAGCAGGGUCGAAAGACGGACUUAGUGAUCCGGUGGUUCCGCAUGGAAGGGCCAUCGCUCAACGGAUAAAAGCUACCCCGGGGAUAACAGGCUUAUCUCCCCCAAGAGUUCACAUCGACGGGGAGGUUUGGCACCUCGAUGUCGGCUCAUCGCAUCCUGGGGCUGUAGUCGGUCCCAAGGGUUGGGCUGUUCGCCCAUUAAAGCGGUACGCGAGCUGGGUUCAGAACGUCGUGAGACAGUUCGGUCCCUAUCCGUCGUGGGCGUAGGAAAUUUGAGAGGAGCUGUCCUUAGUACGAGAGGACCGGGAUGGACAUACCUCUGGUGUACCAGUUGUCGUGCCAACGGCAUAGCUGGGUAGCUAUGUGUGGACGGGAUAAGUGCUGAAAGCAUCUAAGCAUGAAGCCCCCCUCAAGAUGAGAUUUCCCAACUUCGGUUAUAAGAUCCCUCAAAGAUGAUGAGGUUAAUAGGUUCGAGGUGGAAGCAUGGUGACAUGUGGAGCUGACGAAUACUAAUCGAUCGAAGACUUAAUCAA